AUUGAACGCUGGCGGCAUGCCUUACACAUGCAAGUCGAACGGCAGCACGGGUGCUUGCACCUGGUGGCGAGUGGCGAACGCGUGAGUAAUACAUCGGAACAUGUCCUGUAGUGGGGGAUAGCCCGGCGAAAGCCGGAUUAAUACCGCAUACGAUCUACGGAUGAAAGCGGGGGACCUUCGGGCCUCGCGCUAUAGGGUUGGCCGAUGGCUGAUUAGCUAGUUGGUGGGGUAAAGGCCUACCAAGGCGACGAUCAGUAGCUGGUCUGAGAGGACGACCAGCCACACUGGGACUGAGACACGGCCCAGACUCCUACGGGAGGCAGCAGUGGGGAAUUUUGGACAAUGGGCGAAAGCCUGAUCCAGCAAUGCCGCGUGUGUGAAGAAGGCCUUCGGGUUGUAAAGCACUUUUGUCCGGAAAGAAAUCCUUGGCCCUAAUACGGUCGGGGGAUGACGGUACCGGAAGAAUAAGCACCGGCUAACUACGUG
rnacentral:rRNA from 1 species